rnacentral:lncRNA from 10 species
UGACAUGAAAUGCUCAAGAUUUCUAGACAUUGAAACACUCUGAAGAAUUGAAAGCUCUGCACAUGGAGUUUGGUGACACGUUUACAAGAGAUCACCUGUGAUGAGGACAAAGGUCGGUGGAAAGCUGUUCAAACAGAGAGACUUGGCCUUGAGGAGCCCAUUUGAACCUCAACUCUUGACCUGUUCAUUGACUGUGUUGGCUAAUUGGGUCUUCAGUGCAAAGCAAGAAACAAUGCUCAGCUUUGCUAACUGUCUGUGUAGCCAGAACAUGAAAAUCAAUCUACCGAUGACCAAAAGGGCAUAGCAAACAACAUCCCUGUGGAGUUGGGUGUUUUUGGCCUUGGCGUUCCACAGAUGUGACCUGAGAAUUCACACAACUUACAUGAAGAUGCAAUUCAUAUAAUUAAUAUGUUCACUGCAUGAAGAUUUUAUUCACCAUAAGUUGGGAUGGUGAGAGACGGACAGAAAACACAGAAGCCCGAGGUGGGAAGCUCUUUGCUCUCUUUUAAGAUGCUUACUGCUGAAGUAAGUACAAAACAGAAUGCUACGCUGUCACCUGCAGGAAAGCCUGAGCAGAUAAAGAUGGCUUCUGCACCUGGAGGAAAUGGGAAUUUCCAGCGAGACAGGAAGAAAAUGAUUCAAGUGGGUGAAAUUGUGAAUUUCUUGGAAGAGAGACUUUGUCUUUAUUGUUUGUAAAUCAGCUUAUUAUUGGGAACAUAACAUACCAGUCAGCCCAAAAAUGUGCUGUUUUUUCUUAAACUACUGAUGAAGAAGUGGUAAAAACAGGGGCUUCUUUAUAGUCAGGUAAGUCUAGGUGGAUCCCCUGUUUUUAGAGGCACCUUUGCGCUCCUGUCUGCUUCACCCACAAAACGUAACUUUGACUUAAAUUGAACAGGGCUGUGCAUACGAAUAACUCUAUCCAGUGUAAUUGGAUGCACUAGAGCGUGCUUUCUAAAAUUAGAAUGCUGGGGUAGAGAUCUUGCUUCAACCUAAUAAUGCCUGAAUGAAUUUGGCAAACAGAAGUAACUUUCUAUGCCUGAAUUUGCUAUCUUUGAAAUGGGAAUGAUAAUAAUAGUAGAAAACCUGCACAAUUGUUGUGAAAUUAAAAUGAGUCUAUUAAAAAAAAACAAAGUGCCUGCUACAUAGUGCUCAAGUAUUACUAAUAUUAUUAUUACUGCUAUCUUUAUUUAUAAUCUCCCUGGUAUAAAGGACUCAUUACUCAAAAUAGAAUAUAUAUUCUAUUUUGCUUAUUCUCCGUCAAAAAUAAUAUCUAUGUUCUAUAUGCAAGGUUAUAAUAUGAGCACAGGAUAGAAUAAAGUGUACGAAGUAUUUUUUUGAUAGGUUCACUAUUGUGCCAUCAGUCAUUUUUGCCCAAAAGAAGCAGAAGAUAAGCUCAUAGUUAUUUUUUUCCCAGAAAGACUCAGUUUUGUUUGAAAUUAAUUAAUUAAUUUCCAUAAAUUAUUGGGGUACAGGUGGUAUUUAGUUACAUGAGUAAGUUCUUUAGUGGCGAUUUGUGAGAUUUUCAUGCACCCAUCACCCGAGCAGUAUAUACUGCACCAUAUUUGCAGUGUUUUAUCCCUAGACCCCCUCCCUCUCUUCCCCACAAGUCCCCAAAGUCCAUUGUAUUAUUCUUAUGCCUUUGCAUCCUCAUAGCUUAGCUCCUACAUAUCAGUGAGAAGAUAUGAUGUUUGGUUUUCCAUUCCUGAGUUACUUAGAAUUAACAAGGACUCAGUUCUUCAUAGGCAUUUUUGGCAUCUCAGAUAAUAGAUUUUGUCACCGAAGCCAACGGUCCUUUGGAAUCACAAUUACGUGAAUGUAUAGAUUGCUGAACAAAUCUACUAAGACUCCUAAUUUGUAUCUCACAGAAUUUGAAAGCUAUAAGUGACCACAUUAUUCCCACUGCAUAUGAAGAAAUUGAUGCACAGGAAAUAAACGUUUGAAAAUGUAGGUUUAACUAUGUUUUUCUUCUGAAUAACAUCACUCAAUACAUUUACCUAGCACAGAACACUCUUUAGCACAAUUUACAUGACCCUAAAUAGUUUGGUCUUGGAGUAUUCUACGACUCAUGUUUUCAUGUUCCCUACUUUUUAGUUUAUUCAAAUCAUUUUUCUUCUGAUCCUGCUAAAACAUUUUUACCAUUGCUGAGAAUUCAUCACCUUUUCUCCCCUGCUUCUGCUACUCCUUCUCCUAGGUCAAUUUUACUAAUUCUUCAGAUCUCAGCUUAAAUAUCUCAUUGUUAGAGAAGGUUUCCUUGAUCUCCUAAAUUAAAUUGAAUCCCUGUUGAUAUAUGCUCCACUAGCUGUCAUAAACACUUUUAUCAGCAUUAUUGUCUUUGUAACUAUAUAUGCUGCGUAAGAUUAGGUGAUUUUCACUCUUCUCACUUUUUAUUUUAGAUAUUAUGUUAUUUUCAUCCUAGAAUUCCCAUUUCGUUUUUCUAGGAUUUCUAUUUCUUUACUAAGAUUUCCAAUCUUUUCACUUAUGAUAAGAAUAAUUUCCUUUCCUUGAAC